AUUGAACGCUGGCGGCAUGCCUUACACAUGCAAGUCGAACGGCAGCACGGGUGCUUGCACCUGGUGGCGAGUGGCGAACGGGUGAGUAAUACACCGGAACGUACCUUAUCGUGGGGGAUAACGCAGCGAAAGCUGUGCUAAUACCGCAUACGCCCUGAGGGGAAAGCGGGGGAUCGAAAGACCUCGCGCGAUUAGAGCGGCCGAUGCCUGAUUAGCUUGUUGGUAGGGUAAAAGCCCACCAAGGCGACGAUCAGUAGCUGGUCUGAGAGGACGAUCAGCCACACUGGGACUGAGACACGGCCCAGACUCCUACGGGAGGCAGCAGUGGGGAAUUUUGGACAAUGGGGGCAACCCUGAUCCAGCAAUGCCGCGUGAGUGAAGAAGGCCUUCGGGUUGUAAAGCUCUUUUGUCAGGGAAGAAACACCGGCUCUAACACAGUCCGGGAAUGACGGUACCUGAAGAAUAAGCACCGGCUAACUACGUGCCAGCCGCCGCGGUAA
rnacentral:rRNA from 1 species